UUAAUUUGAUGAAUUUCGGGUUAAAGGACAAAAGUAAAAAAAUUGUAAAAAUUUGGGGUAAUUAUGUAAAUUCAAAAAAUAAAAGGGUAUUAAUUGUAAAGUGGAUUGAAAUGUGAAUUGUAAGCUGCUAAUUGAGAAAUUUUAUACUUUAGAUCAAGAUCUCGUAGAUAUUUGUGGAAAAGGAAAAAUUAUGGAAUAGUCUCUGAAAUUUUGCAACUAUUACAAUUUAGUCCAGGUAAAUUCGUACGAUUUUAAAUUUAACAUCUAUAUGAAUUGUCGAAUAGCAUAACAUGAUACAAUAUAUAUACAUAUUCAAUUGUUGAUAAUGAAUAAUUAUUUGAGAUAUGUUAUUGAAUUUGAUGUUCGGAUUGGAUUGAACGUAAUAUAGUGUACAAUUGUGAUAUGGUGUGUUGUGGGGGAUUGGAGUGGAUAUGGUUUUGGAGGGAUGUAUAUAUAUUUCUCGAGUAAACAGAGGUUCAACAUUUGUUGCAAACUCUCGUGUUAUACUGUCUAUUUGACGUAUUUCGGUUGGAGUAGCUCUUAUGAGCAAUUGUCGUGUUUCAGUUGGACUAACUCUUUUGAGCAUUUGGUGUGUUUUGGGGGGAUUGACUCAUAUGAGCAUCUAGCGUGUUAUGGUUGGACUGACAAUGUGCUCCUAUCCGUCAGUCGUUCUUCAAAUUGAAAACCUUAUUAAGGUAAUUUGUUUAAUAAAUUUGAUGGAUUUGCUAUAUGUUUUGAGUAUUGAAUUGAAAGCAUGUAAUUUAUUCGUUGAGAUUGUGGAUGAUAGGGAACCUUCAUGGUUGAAUUGUUAUUAUUUGAAUUGUUGUAUUUACUUCGGUAAGAUUUGUCAUCGUUUUAAUACGUCAAACUUACUAAGGUUCAUUUAAUCUUUGAUUUUGUAAAUGCUCGGAAGGUUGGACGAUCGGGUCGGUACUCAAGUCACACUAUCCAUAAAUUUCAAUAGUUUUUGGAAAGUUUUUUUUCGAUUUAUAUGGCAUGUAUUAGGUGUGUAUGUCAUUAUAAAUGUUUUGGAUGUGUGUAAUGUUAAGUAUGACUUAUGUACAUAUUGUUAAACUACAAGAUGUAUGUAAAUAAGGUAGAUGUUUCAAUGCAAAUA
rnacentral:lncRNA from 1 species